rnacentral:rRNA from 1 species
AUGGCGUCUCCUCCUCCAUCAUCCACCGUGAUCCAGAUGCCUCCAAGUCCACAAACCAACGGCCAGCCGACGGCCGGGACAGUCCCGGCCAUGCCUAAUGAUGCCGGUGACGUGACCAUAGCACCUGCAGCAGCUGCCGGACCAGCAUCCAAGGCAACGGACAAGGUCAUGUCGAGCGCCGCGAACCUCGCGCAGCUCCUGCCGACGGGCACAAUGCUCGCGUACCAGGCUCUAUCCCCGUCCUUUACCAACCACGGCAAGUGCGAGGCCUCCAACCAGUGGCUCACCGCCGCGCUGGUCAUCAUCCUCGCCGCCCUGUGCAUCCUCUUCUCCUUCACCGACAGUGUCCUCGGCCGCGACCAGAAGCUCUACUACGGCGUCGCCACACCACGCGGCUUCAACGUGUUCAAUUUCUCCGACGAAGAGGAGAAGCUGAAGUGGACUCCAGCUGAGUUCCGGAGGCUCCGCAUCAGGCCACUGGACUUUUUGCACGCCAUCUUCACAGCGCUGGUCUUUCUCACCGUGGCGUUCAGCGACGUGGGGCUACAAAAUUGCUUCUUCCCCAACGCCGGCAGGAACACCGCAGAGCUGCUCAAGAACCUGCCGUUGGGCAUCGCAUUUCUGUCGAGUUUUGUGUUCAUGGUCUUCCCCACAAAGAGGAAGGGCAUCGGUUACACCGACACCACUCCUCGCAAGAAGCUCACUUGA